rfam:Strongylocentrotus purpuratus Contig53391_fixed, whole genome shotgun sequence.
AAAACGGCUCUUUUCAGAGCCACCACAUACCCAGAGAGAGAACAACU